AUCUUGUUCUGGGAUGACUGUACACCAGCACAAGUUUUAGGUGACACAUGCUUCACACGUCAUAACGGAGACAAUAACAAUAUGUCACUGGAUAUAAAAAACUUCAAUGCUGUGUGCACCAGCAGCUCUGAGGAUGACCAGAAAAUGAUCAGAGACAAUUUAAAUACACAAACCCCUAAAGGUCUUCUAAAAUCCUGUCAACACAACAACAAUCCAAGGGGACCAUCAAGACGGGAUGCAAACGUCAAAAUAAGGAAAAGUGUGUCCUUCGAUGAUGAGGUCAUUGUCUUCCUGUUUGAUCAGGAGAGUCCCACUGUGGAGCUGCACGCUGAGGCCUGCACAUCUCUGCCUAGCAGCUCCUGCAACCUGCUGGGUGUCACAUCAGAAGACUGCGGCUUGGAGUGGGAAGAUGAUUUCUCAGCUCUGUAUAGAGACUGCCACUUUCAGUUUGCACAACGCUCUCGACACAACAAAUUCACCCUGCCAGCACGGAGCUGGAGUCCCCUGUCCAGGCCGAAACGCUGCUGUCUGUCCCAAAGCUGCCUGUUCCUCACCUAUUUCACAGAGUCUGACCUUGAGCUGUGAGGUACAGGGUGAGUGUGACACACACAUAGUGAGUUGAUUUCUAUGGUCAAAUACAGGCUUUCUAUCACAGCACCUCCCUUCAGCCAAAGGCCACCUUACUGUCACCAUGGCCCGAUGUGACAUCCACACUUGUUUUUCUUUCAGACUGCCAGCCUUGGUCUAAUGGAAAAACUGACUAAUCAUCCAGAUCUUCACCUCUAACUCAUCCCCCCACCUCCCUCUCCUUUUUAUGAUGACUCAGGGAUUUUAAUGGCUCUCUCUGUGUUCCAAAUGGCUUCAUGACAUCACAGCCGAGCCAGACUGUGUGACAGAGCAUUUAGCUUUUUUCAGUCGUUAGUAUGACACGAUUGAAGCUGUGAUGUGAUAAAGAGCUAGUUGCAUAACAGUGCUAGUACCUCUCCAGCUG
rnacentral:lncRNA from 1 species